rnacentral:rRNA from 1 species
AUGAACGCUGGCGGCGUGCCUAAUACAUGCAAGUCGAGCGAACGGACGAGAAGCUUUCUUCUCUGAUGUUAGCGGCGGACGGGUGAGUAACACGUGGAUAACCUACCUAUAAGACUGGGAUAACUUCGGGAAACCGGAGCUAAUACCGGAUAAUAUUUUUAACCGCAUGGUUCAAAAGUGAAAGACGGUCUUGCUUUCACUUAUAGAUUGAUCCGCGCUUCAUUAGCUAGUUGGUAAGGUAACGGCUUACCAAGGCAACGAUGCAUAGCCGACCUGAGAGGGGGAUCGGCCACACGGGAAGUGAGACACGGUCAAGAAUACUACGGGAGGAAGCAGUAGGGAAUCUUCCGCAAUGGGCGAAAGCCUGACGGAGCAACGCCGCGUGAGUGAUGAAGGUCUUCGGAUCGUAAAACUCUGUUAUUAGGGAAGAACAUAUGUGUAAGUAACUGUGCACAUCUUGACGGUACCUAAUCAGAAAGCCACGGCUAACUACGUG